rnacentral:rRNA from 1 species
CAAUAGCGUAUAUUAAAGUUGUUGCAGUUAAAAAGUUCGUAGUUGGACCUUGGACCUGGACAGGCGGUCCGCCUCACGGCGUGUACUGUCUUGCUGGGUCUUUCCUCUUGGUGAUCUGUUGUUUCGGCAGCAGAGAACCAGGACUUUUACUUUGAAAAAAUUAGAGUGUUCAAAGCAGGCUCGACGCCGGAAUAUAUUAGCAUGGAAUAAUAAAAUAGGACGUGCGGUUCUAUUUUGUUGGUUUUUGGAAUCGCCGUAAUGAUUAAUAGGGACAGUCGGGGGCAUUAGUACUCACAUGCUAGAGGUGAAAUUCUUGGAUUUUGUGAAGACUAACUUCUGCGAAAGCAUUUGCCAAGGAUGUUUUCAUUAA